rnacentral:rRNA from 1 species
GAUGAACGCUGGCGGCGUGCCUAAUACAUGCAAGUCGAGCGAACGGAUGAGAAGCUUGCUUCUCUGAUGUUAGCGGCGGACGGGUGAGUAACAUGUGGAUAACCUACCUCUAAGACUGGGGUACCUUCGGCAAACCGUAUCUUAUACCCGAUAAUAUUUUGCACUGCAUGGUUCACACGUGAAAGACGGUCUUGCUUACACUUAUAGCUGGACACGCGCUGAAUUAGCUAGUUGGCAAGGUAACGGCUUACCAACGCGACGAUGCAUAGCCGACCUGAAAGGGAGAUCAGACAGCCUGGAAGUGAGACACAGUCCAGACUCCGACGGGGAGCAGCAGUAGGGAAUCUUACGCGAAGGGCGAAAGCGUGACAGAGCAACGCCGCGUGAGUGAUGAAGGUCUUCGGAUGGGAGAGCGCUGUUAGUAGGGAAGAAGAAAAGUGUAAUUAACCGUGAAGAUCUUGACGGUACCGAAAGAAAAAGCCACGGCUAACUACGUG